GACAUAGGUGGCGAACGUUAUCCGGAUUUAUUGGGCGUAAAGGAUGCGUAGAUGGUGGAAUAAGUUAUUGGUCAAAGUCAAGCUCAACUUGGCGGAAGCUGGUAAUACUAUUCUACUUGAGGAUAGGAGAGGUUGGCGGAAUUCUGUGUGGAGCGGUGAAAUGCGUUGAUCUACAGAGGAACACCAAAAAAAGGCGAAGGCAGCCAACUAUUCUACUCCUGACAUUGAGGCAUGAAAGCGUGGGGAGCAAACCGGGA
rnacentral:rRNA from 1 species